UGUCACCAUGCCUUCCAUCUCUCUUUCCUUCCUCUCUCAUACGUUUCCCCCUUUCUGAGUUUGGGGUCCUAUUUUUUUAUUUUUUUAUUUAUAUAUAGAACUUCAAGCUGUCACCACUGUUUUUUUUUCUUGGAGCUUCAAGAUGCAAACCCCAUCAACAAAAAUCACAUCUCUCAAUUUACACAAAUUUAAAUCCAGAGCUAGAUGUCAAAGAUGUGAACUUUGACGGAAAAGUUUUCAUAUCAACUCCAGAUUUAUCACUUUGUGCCCAUUUACAGAUCCAGGAACACAAAGCUUCGAUCUCAUCCUUUUUAUAGUGGACUCAAAGAACAAUCAACUGAAUUUGCAGAUCCACUUAAUUUAAGAACAUCACAUGUAAAGCUUUUGACAUGCAAGUAGUGAUGUGGUGCGGCGGAGAGAUAUUUCAACGGAAGACAGAAGAAGCUUCGUUGGCCACAAAAUUUAAGCUAAAAUCAUUUUGAUUACUUGAAUUAAAAAAGGGGACGAUGAUGGUGAUGAGGAUGUUGAUGGUGAGUGAUGAGAAAGAUUAAGGUGGAGAUGAUGAAGACGUUGAUGGUAGAAGAAUGAAGAUAUCUACUACUUCUUAUUCGGAUACAUGGAGGAUUAAAGUAAGAGUCAUUCGAGUAUGGAAGAUGUGCCCAAUUUCUGAACCAUCAAAACCAUAUGCAAUGAGUUUGCAGUAGAAAGAGUGCAGCCAAGCAUAUGACAAGAUAAACUGUCUGCUCUUUUAAUUUUCAGCACUGUGGCUUAUACCAGUUUUAUAAUUUUCUUUCAAUUUGAAUGUAUUGAAGGUGUUUUAUUCAAGAUUGCAUUUUUGUUCACUAGCAACUACGAGACAGGACUGUCAAAAAAAACCUACGAGACAAUGUCCUCUUAUGGUGAACCCAGGAGUUUAUGUCGAGGCUAGGAACAGGAGAAAUAUCAGAUUGAACCGAAAAAUUUGCAAAAGCUGAAGUAGUUCUUCAAACCCACCAUGAUUACUGACAUACGACAACAUAAGUAUGAGAAGAUUGGAAUCAGAAGCAGUUACUUUUUUAGACUUGAUGAUGGUAGCAUGGUAGGUCGUUCUUUAGAUAGCUAAUUUUUUGUUGCUUGACUAUGAAGUGUCUACGAGGGAAACACAUUACAACACCUUGAGAGAGCAAACUCCAUAAUAUUGGGAUAGUGUAGGCAUACUUAAUUAUUUAAGUUUCAGAUACUAGAAUUCGGUAUUGUUUUAAUAUGAAAGUAAUACUUAGGAUCUGUCAAGGAGCUCGCUCUGAUAUUGUACACAUAUAUUCUCACUUUAAGUUAGGUUUUUCAGCUACUUAUGUGGCGGCAUGGUUGAGUUACUAGGAUAUUGGAAUUGUUGUUGGACUUGUGAGAAUGCAUUUUCAUGAUUGUUUAUUAUAGUAAGUCAUCAUAUAUAUGAAGCAUUUAUUGUACA